AUUGAACGCUGGCGGUAGGCUUAACACAUGCAAGUCGUGCGAGAAAGUAUCUUCGGAUAUGAGUAGAGCGGCGGACGGGUGAGUAACGCGUAGGAAUCUACCUAGUAGAAGGGGAUAGCCCGGGGAAACUCGGAUUAAUACCGUAUACCUCCUUCGGGAGAAAGAAGGCCUCUCUUUGAAGCUUUCGCUAUUAGAUGAGCCUGCGUAAGAUUAGCUUGUUGGUGAGGUAAAGGCUCACCAAGGCGACGAUCUUUAGCGGGUCUGAGAGGACGAUCCGCCACAUUGGGACUGAGACACGGCCCAGACUCCUACGGGAGGCAGCAGUGGGGAAUAUUGGACAAUGGGCGCAAGCCUGAUCCAGCCAUACCGCGUGUGUGAAGAAGGCCCUAGGGUUGUAAAGCACUUUAAGUUGGGAAGAAAAGUUAUUGGUUAAUACCCAAUAACCGUGACAUUACCAUCAGAAUAAGGACCGGCUAAUUCCGUGCCAGCAGCCGCGGUAAUACGGAAGGUCCAAGCGUUAAUCGGAAUUACUGGGCGUAAAGCGCGCGUAGGUGGUUUAUUAAGUUGGAUGUGAAAUCCCCGGGCUCAACCUGGGAACUGCAUCCAAAACUGAUUCACUAGAGUACGAUAGAGGGAGGUAGAAUUCACAGUGUAGCGGUGGAAUGCGUAGAUAUUGUGAAGAAUACCAAUGGCGAAGGCAGCCUCCUGGAUCUGUACUGACACUGAGGUGCGAAAGCGUGGGUAGCGAACAGGAUUAGAUACCCUGGUAGUCCACGCCGUAAACGAUGUCAACUAGCUGUUGGAGAACUAUGUUCUUCAGUGGCGCAGCUAACGUAGUAAGUUGACCGCCUGGGGAGUACGGCCGCAAGGCUA
rnacentral:rRNA from 1 species